GACCACUGACAAGGGAAACAAACACGUUCGCACUGGCGCCCGUGUCUGACGUCGAAAUCCUGGAUUGCGUCGUAGACGCGUGGCAUCGCAUGCGCGAUUCGGUGCAACAGGCCUUCGGACAGCCGGCGCUAGUUGUGCCGUCGCGCUCUGUUGCUAGGGUGUUCGGUGCGCGGUUGCAUAGUGAUUGGUGUUUCGCGGUAGCUGUAGUAAGUGCAGCUGAAGCGACGACAGCGCAGCAUCAACGGAGUCUUGGUGUAGUGCGACGCUACUUCUGCUCACACUGACAUGGCUCAAGUCAUGAACUACGGCGCUCUUAAAGCGGCCGACGACAGCCCAUCGUAUGGGGCAGCCGGGACCAAAUCGGCACCGAAGAAAAGUGCUGCAGAUAUGUCGCGGUUUACGGGGAGGGUCAAAGUGAAGAUAUGCGAAGCGACGGUGUUCGACGCAAUUGACCUGCAAGCGGAGGACGUGAUCUUAUCAAGGGACCAACAGGCAGACACGUUCUACGUCACCCUCAGCGUCGAUGGCAUGUUCAUCAGCCGUUCGAACACCAAGCGCAAGACGACGAAUUUAGUUUGGAACGAGUGUUUCACGGCCGAUGUGCACGGCGCGAGGAAUGUUGGUUUCACCGUCUUUCACGUGGCGACGCACAACUCUGACGACUUGCCGGUUGCCAAGGGCAGCGUUACCUUCGACGAGCUGGUCGAAUCGAUACAGAAUAAGCGAUCGGGCGGAUACGAGAACGACGUUUGGAUUGACCUCAAGCCUGGAGGCAAACUACAUGUUGUCAUCAACCUCAUACCGGAUGAGAAUGUGGUGGAGGAGUGCCAACAUGAGUCCAAAGAGCGACACGCCCUUAUCCAACGCCAGAACCCUGCGCGAGGGAAGGUGCACGAGAUCAAUGGCCACAAGUUUGUGGCCACAAUUCUGCGGCAGCCUAGCUUCUGCUCCCGUUGCCAUGGUUUCAUAUGGGGCAUUGGAAAGCAAGGCUACCAGUGCAAAGCCUGCACGUGUGUAGUUCACAAGAGAUGUCACAUGCUAGUGAUCACCAGAUGUGCAAAUACAAGGCAAAUCAUCGAUGAUGAGUUGUCUACUGGAAGCCAUCUCAUCAUAAACAACCCGCACCAGUUUUCUGUGCGAAGCUUCAGACAGCCAACCUUCUGCGACCACUGUGGGACGUUGCUAGCUGGCCUGACUGAGCAAGGAGUUCACUGCAAAGCGUGCCAUAUGAAUGUGCACAAACGAUGCCAGAAGAACGUCGCCAACAGCUGUGGCAUCGACGCAGCAGUCUUUAGUCACACAGGAUCCUCUGACAGCACAUGCAGCAAACGAGAUUAAAAGAAGAUUUUGUAGGCUGGAACAGCACUUGAUCAAUACAAGCAACAAGAUAUUGAGCAGAGUGAAAAACCAAGAGGCAUGCACUAAGGAAGCGAAGAGGGCUCCACAAUGAACAUUAUCAAUUAUUACGGCUUUCCAUAUGAAAAUAUUCAACCAGUGCAGCUGGAACCUGCCGAAGAGGAUGCUCAAUGGUGUGGGGAUUCUGUUGCUGAGUAUGAGGUCACGGAUUUGAGUUUCAGUGGAGGCGGCCACAUUUCACGAGGGAUGAAAUGCAAGAAUUCACGCUGACAUUUCAGUGCCUUGUUAAAGGUGUUCAAAAUUUAUCCAGAGCCCUGUGCCCCCGCUACAAAGCAUUUCAUGCCUGAACUGUGCCUUUGGGCCAAAAAACCCUCAAGUUAGAAUGAGUAGUAAUGUGCAACUUCUUUAUUAGCUGCUUCCCAUCUUUCACCAAUUAUAACUGCGAGAAACUAGAAAAAUCCUGCUGCGUAUGCUGGAAAUCAGGCAUCGGAUACUGAACAGCUCAUGAGGUGGUCAGUUGUUUUCUCCUGAUGUAAAAUUGCUUUACAGGGAAGGCGUAGCCUAUUUCACAAAACUUUGAGCAUGUCGGCCAGUAGGAAGACAGAUAAUUUCAGUUUUGCACUAGUGGCUGGUGUAGCUUUAUUUUCAGACUUAUGGUACUCAGUAAAGUGAAUGUAUUGAAUGUGUACACUGUGCCUUUCACCCAUUUUUUUCCAGUUAGCGGUUAUCUACAACAUCAAAUGCAUGAAAUUAAGAAGGAAAUUUGAUCUUACUAACUGGUCUAAACAAGAACACUUUGCUUAGUUUCUCACUAACCUCAUGUGCUUUGCCACAAGCUUUCCUUCUGGUAGUAAAUAGACUGAAACAGUGCAGCUUGUGUUAUAUAUUGCUCCACCCUUUGUGACUCGGACACAGCUGGCAUAUUCAGAAAGUGUGUGCGUAGUGUAUGAAUCCCUUGCUGGACGUUGAUUUGAUUGUGCUCCUCAUGAAUGCCCUGAAAGCAUUGAACAUGCCUUGUAUCUUGUUUUGUUUUUUCGUGUUGAGUGCAAUGUAUGUGCCUUUCUACUUCAAUCAUCACAAGACUGGUGUAACCUCAGCCGAAAAUGAACUUUGGUAGCUAUGGCAAAGUUUCGAUGACUGUGCUGUGUGGUGCUUUUCAUCUUCAGUAGAGAAGCUGCACACACGUUUGCACAACCUACAAAUCUGUUCAUGUGUAAGCUGAUAAUUUUGUGCAUAAAGUCGAUAUUGUGAUGAUGUUGUAGGUUAGUUAUUCAGAAUUGAAGGAACAUGCUAUUUUCUCAUAACUCAAGUGAAUUCUUUUGCCAAGUUGUGUGCAGAGAACACAGAAGAAUGCAACCAAAUGCUUUUUUUAGUCUUCAGCCUUCGUAGUAAGGAGUUUCAUGUUUGGCAUGCCAUAUAUACCUUGUAUUACAGAAUAACCCUUUAUACCAUGUCUGUUCUUUUGGAAGGUACAAAUGUGGUCUUUGGCAAUAGCAGCCCCAUACUCAAAAUUAGUCACCCUUUACAAGAUAAGAUCAUUCGGCAGCUGUAUUAGAGACAAGCAUACUGUCAUGCAUCUAAAUGCACAGCUAACAAACAAAUGUACAAACUACUUAGCAUCUUUUACAAAAUCUUGAGCACUGCGUAUUGCUCGCAACUGAGAUCUAAAGAUCCGCACCUGUGUCGGUUACUCCUGUAGUAAUUGCAAGGUGUCGCCAAUGUGCUGUAUGUCAUAUAACAUGUCACAGGAUAGAUAAAAGAGUACUCGAGCAGCACCCCCUCAUUGCGGGACUUUGACUAUGCCUUUUAGAGAGUGAAAAAAUUUUAAAACACGAAGACAGUGGAACAACUUAAAAUGAUGAAGCCAUUUGUUGUCAGAAUGGGUAUACCGUUUUAUUUCUGCGUUACAGAAAUGUAAUAUAUGAAUAUAGAAGAGAUCCCAUGCUGUUCUGUAGUCAAAUAUGCUGCCUUGAUUUGUUCCAUUGUUCCUCUCAUAUGUGACGCUUUUUUUUUCUUCGUCAUUUGUCUGAAUGUAUAUUUGGCCACUGAAAGGUUCACAUUCAUGCUGGCCACAAACAAAGUGCUAUGCGGGUUGAUAAAUGUAAGAAUUUGCUCACCUUCAAUAAAUAUGUAUUUUACCACU